rnacentral:rRNA from 1 species
AUUGAACGCUGGCGGCAGGCCUAACACAUGCAAGUCGAACGAGUGGCGGACGGGUGAGUAAUGUCUGGGAAACUGCCUGAUGGAGGGGGAUAACUACUGGAAACGGUAGCUAAUACCGCAUACCAUCGGAUGUGCCCAGAUGGGAUUAGCUAGUAGGUGGGGUAAAGGCUUACCAAGGCGACGAUCCGUAGCUGGUCUGAGAGGAUGAUCAGUAACACUGGAACUGAGACACGGUCCAGACUCCUACGGGAGGCAGCAGUGGGGAAUAUUGGACAAUGGGCGAAAGCCUGAUGCAGCCAUGCCGCGUGUGUGAAGAAGGUCUGCGGAUUGUAAAGCACUUUAAGUUGGGAGGCGUUACCAGCAGAAUAAGCACCGGCUAACUUCGUGCCAGCAGCCGCGGUAAUAC